rnacentral:tRNA from 1 species
GCUCCGUUAGCUCAGCACGGUGAGAGCGCUGCCCUGUCACGGCAGAGGUCGCCGGUUCAAGUCCGGUACGGGGCG